rnacentral:rRNA from 1 species
GAUGAACGCUGGCGGCGUGCUUAACACAUGCAAGUCGAACGAAGCGCUUGGAUGGAAUUCUUCGGAAGGAAGCUCAAGUGACUGAGUGGCGGACGGGUGAGUAACGCGUGGGUAACCUGCCUCAUACAGGGGGAUAACAGUUAGAAAUGACUGCUAAUACCGCAUAAGCACACGUGAUCGCAUGAUCGAGUGUGAAAAACUCCGGUGGUAUGAGAUGGACCCGCGUCUGAUUAGCUAGUUGGUGGGGUAAUGGCCCACCAAGGCGACGAUCAGUAGCCGGCCUGAGAGGGUGAACGGCCACAUUGGGACUGAGACACGGCCCAAACUCCUACGGGAGGCAGCAGUGGGGAAUAUUGCACAAUGGGGGAAACCCUGAUGCAGCGACGCCGCGUGAAGGAUGAAGUAUUUCGGUAUGUAAACUUCUAUCAGCAGGGAAGAAAAUGACGG